GACGAACGCUGGCGGCGUGCCUAACACAUGCAAGUCGAGCGGGGAGGAGGAAGCUUGCUUCCGAAUCCUAGCGGCGGACGGGUGAGUAACGCGUGAGCAACCUGCCUCUUACAGGGGGAUAACGCAUCGAAAGAUGUGCUAAUACCGCGUAAGACCACAGCAUCACAUGGUGCAGGGGUCAAAGGAGCAAUCCGGUAAGAGAUGGGCUCGCGUCCGAUUAGCUAGUUGGCGGGAUAACAGCCCACCAAGGCGACGAUCGGUAGCCGACCUGAGAGGGUGAUCGGCCACAUUGGAACUGAGAUACGGUCCAG
rnacentral:rRNA from 1 species